UACGGUGGGGGCAAGCGUUGUUCGGAAUUACUGGGCGUAAAGGGUUUGUAGGUGGCUUGUUAAGUCAGACGUGAAAUCCCUCAGCUUAACUGGGGAACUGCGUCUGAGACUGGUGAGCUUGAGUGCAGGAGAGGAACGCGGAAUUCCAGGUGUAGCGGUGAAAUGCGUAGAUAUCUGGAGGAACACCGGUGGCGAAGGCGGCAUCCUGGACCAACACUGACGCUGAGUGAGCGAAAGCCAGGGGAGCAAACGGG
rnacentral:rRNA from 1 species